rnacentral:lncRNA from 1 species
UUUCUUCUUAUUUUUUCCCCCUUCUCCACCACUACCAAAAAUGCCAUAACCCCAGUCUACCACCAUAGCAGACGCGACCACCUACACCUGCAUGAGAAUCUCCCCCAAAUCACCCCAAGACAGUAAAUCGCCAAAGAAUCAGAAGAAACAGUCUCCAUUUUGUAAAAAUCGGCCAUUAAUGGGUCUGAAAAGUUGAUUUAAAGAAGAUUCUUGAUUCAAAAUUUGAAA